UUGCUGCCUGUUGUGGAAGUGCUUGGACUGGGGGAGUAAUGGCAAGCCACCAAAUACUGCCGACAGUGGUUUUUCAGGAGGAGGUGGUAGGGGAUUCCUGAAAAGAGGACGAAGUUCGUUCGACUAGGGUGGACUAUAUGGAAGAGGUGGAGAAGGCGGGCAAGGAUUCCUCCAGGGUGGAGUGGAGGGAAGGUCAUUAUUAAAUAAUGCUACAGGAGGGUUCGGUGGUGGUGGAGGAUGUUACGGAAAUGGAGGGGGUGCUGGAGGUGGAGGCAGCUACUCAGGGGGUACUAGUGGAGGUAACGAAACUAACUCCUGCGGGGAUGGUGGUGGUUCAUAUAAUGACGGAGAAGAACAGAGUAACAGUUGUUGUUACGAUGAUAAGGGGCACGGGGUUUGUGUUUGUAAGCUAGGCCUGUUAAAAUAUCGUAAAAUGGCGGUUAUAGUCCCCAUCCAGGUCCGUUUCAAGACCGUUCAAGGCCAAUCUGUCAGCUGAGGAAAAGACAUACAGUUCUAUUCUAGCCCCAUCUAGAUAAAAGCCCUUAAUCGCUCAACUUUUCUUUUUUAAUUUACAAACGUCCUUAUAGAGCUUUAACAGAGAUAGACCCUGAAUAAGUUUGGAACUAGAGUGCAGAUCAAAACGUUUGAUCAGUGGUUUCCUUUCUAUAUAUCUCUCAUCAGAAAUUCUAAGUCAUGUCCUGUUAGCAAUUUAAUUUAAUUUCUAAACAAAAUCUCCCUUAUAAACCUCCCGAUAUAUAAUCAAACCCAGUUAUCAGUUCCAUCCAAAACCUUUUACGAAGCUGUAUAAGCCCAGUGCUCAUAGCCAGCAUUUAUGCUGCUUUAUUGGUUUGCUUUCUGGUUAACGAAAACAUCACAGGAAGGGCCUGUAAUGGCGGGUAAAAAAGCUCAAAAUAAGAACUCUGUGGCACUCGUGUAAUGCGCAAAGCAAAACAAACUCCAGUUUAUGAUUUUCGUUUCCUCUCCCUUGUAUUGCACUGCAUAUCAUUACUACACAUAGUUUUCGCAGAUAACGAACGCACGUACGUCAAAAACGUAGCAGGCUUUUGGUGGCUACUUUCACCCAAGAGAUAAGUAGUAUACUUCUCAUGAACGCUUUGUAUAUCUUAACUCUAACGAUAGUCAUCUCCGUACAGAAUGAGAAGAGAUCAAUGAACAAGAAUUUACCCAGUCUGUAUAAAACACUUUCUUUCCAGCUGAUGUUAAAAGGAAUUACGAGUCAUCUAUUUCGCGAGCAUGUUGACUCUUUAAGCUAGGGACCACAUCAUAAUGAUUAACUACAGGACUCCUGUCAACUAGGGAAGGUUUCAGAAAACUGCCAUGUCAACGUUCACUUUAAAAGGAAUAAUCCCAAGCAAAUUUUGUUAGACAAGAUGUGAGAUACAGAUUUAAUUAUACAUCUUGCCAAAGUUUCCCACGCUUUGCUGCACGGUCUCUUGAGAAGUCAAUGUCCUUUGUAAUUAACGUUUACUCGCAGAAACUGAACAAGUACAAGUUACUCGAGAGACAAGAGCGGUUUCCGACUUUGUUACUCAAAAAAAGACUUUAAAAUGUUUAGUAGUUAAUAAACUAAUUAAAUUUAGAGGUAUAAAAGUAUCAAUAUUGUAACAUAUAAGUGUCGUAAGUUUGCAACCCACUUCUUCACGUUACGUUUGUAAAAUUCAAGUAAAGCUUACAAUAAUGUUCAUUUUAUUUUUAGUUGAUGCGUUUAUUUAGCCAAUCUGUGAGAACCUAGAACAGACCAAAGAAAACCGUAUCAUUGUUGUUUAUGUUUUCAAAUUUUGAAAAGGUUUAAUCCUGAAACUAGGUUUAUUGAGUAAAGUGUAAAUGAUUUUUCUGAGUACAUUCAACUGUACAUUCUGUAAAACCCUCUUCUCGUUAAUAACCUCUAAGGCUGAAACUGGCAAAGCUUUUGAUCAAAGAUCAAAAGCUAAGAGCAUCGACUAGAAGAAGACACCACGUCUUUAUUUUAUCAAUUGGUGUCAGUGACGUAUUAAACUUAGCUCUAAACAUA